rnacentral:lncRNA from 1 species
CUUGUGAAGAAGGGUGAGUGCACUACAUUUGUGUGUGAUAUUUCUUAUUGAGUUUGAGUCUUGGGUUUGGAUGGAAUGUGUUUUAUUGAGUCUGAGUGUUCAAUAUUGGAAUUAAGUAUUUAGUUUAUGUUUGACCCGAAUAUGUUUUAUUGAGUUGAUAAUAGUUAUGUUGUACAUAGUUUUCAUAGAUAUAGAAAGCAUAAUGGUGCUGCAAGUGUAAAGUUUUAUAGCCAACGAGUAAAUUAGAUUUUUUAUUGAAUUCCCCCAAUGUUGUUUUAGGAAGAAAUUGACAUAAAAUAACAAGCAAGACUUAGAAGAAGCUUAACAAAGAUGAGAAAAAACCAAAAAACAUGGGUAUAAGUUUUAAUGUGACAGAUAUGCAUUGAAGUUAUAGUAGUAGAUGGGAUUGGUUGUGCACUUUUGGUAUAUGCAUGGAAGAAAGUUGUAUAAAAUAGCAACAUAGAAAUAAGAUAAUUUCGCUUGUAGCAAUUUUUUGUGUAACUCAGUCUGGAGACAAAAUUAACAGGUAAGUAAUGGCCAACUCUUUUUACUUCAGCAAAGGUUGACUUAUUCUCUAAUUUCUCGUGUAGCUUCCUUAAAUUUGUAUUCCAACACAUUGAUGUCUUUGUGCACCGUGCUCAAGUUUUAAUCCCAAACAACCAAUUUUCAAUUUUCAAUUUUGUCUAUGAAGAGAAAGGGGAUAGGGUUUUGCAGAGUGAUGGCGGAACCUUCAAGAAACAUGGAGGUAGAGAAGUUGAUCUCCUACACUGAUGACCUCGUUAAGGUAUUGGUGGAAUCGCGUGACCUCAACAAACUCGUAAUGACCUUCGUGCAUUCUGAACGUCGUCUUCUCGAUAUCCUUUUCACCCAUGCAAAUCUGGUGGUAUCCCGCCUUCAAGUCUACUUUAGAGAAGUAGCAAGCCCCUCUCAGCUCAUCCAGCAAUUCCUCAAUUACAGGUAUGUGGAACUUAUCCGGCAUCGUGGCUCGAUUGAGUGUCCUGUAGUCGAUGCAGAACCGCCAGCUACCGUUCUUCUUCUUCACUAGAAUGACGGGGUUCGAAUAGGGGUUGUGGCUUG